rnacentral:rRNA from 1 species
UACAGAGGUCUCAAGCGUUGUUCGGAUUCAUUGGGCGUAAAGGGUGCGUAGGCGGCGCGGCAAGUCGGGUGUGAAAUCUUGGAGCUUAACUCCGAAACUGCAUUCGAUACUGCCGUGCUUGAGGACUGGAGAGGAGACUGGAAUUUACGGUGUAGCGGUGAAAUGCGUAGAUAUCGUAAGGAAGACCAGUGGCGAAGGCGGGUCUCUGGACAGUUCCUGACGCUGAGGCACGAAGUCCAGGGGAGCAAACGGG